rnacentral:rRNA from 1 species
CAGCCGCCGCGGUAAUGCGAAGGGUGCAAGCGUUACUCGGAAUUACUGGGCGUAAAGCGUGCGUAGGUGGUGGUUUAAGUCCGUUGUGAAAGCCCUGGGCUCAACCUGGGAAUUGCAGUGGAUACUGGAUCACUAGAGUGUGGUAGAGGAUAGUGGAAUUUCCGGUGUAGCAGUGAAAUGCGUAGAGAUCGGAAGGAACAUCUGUGGCGAAGGCGACUAUCUGGGCCAACACUGACACUGAGGCACGAAAGCGUGGGGAGCAAACAGGAUUAGAUACCCCCGUAGUCCCUGUCUCUUAUAC